rnacentral:rRNA from 1 species
UACGAAGGGGGCUAGCGUUGCUCGGAAUCACUGGGCGUAAAGGGUGCGUAGGCGGGUCUUUAAGUCAGGGGUGAAAUCCUGGAGCUCAACUCCAGAACUGCCUUUGAUACUGGGAAUCUUGAGUAUGGAAGAGGUGAGUGGAACUGCGAGUGUAGAGGUGAAAUUCGUAGAUAUUCGCAAGAACACCAGUGGCGAAGGCGGCUCACUGGUCCAUAACUGACGCUGAGGCACGAAAGCGUGGGGAGCAAACAGGG